rnacentral:rRNA from 1 species
GGGGAAUUUUGGACAAUGGGGGCAACCCUGAUCCAGCCAUGCCGCGUGAGUGAAGAAGGCCUUCGGGUUGUAAAGCUCUUUCGGACGGAAAGAAAUCGCGCGGGUGAAUAAUCCGCGUGGAUGACGGUACCGUAAGAAGAAGCACCGGCUAACUACGUGCCAGCAGCCGCGGUAAUACGUAGGGUGCGAGCGUUAAUCGGAAUUACUGGGCGUAAAGCGUGCGUAGGCGGCGCUGUAAGACAGGUGUGAAAUCCCCGGGCUUAACCUGGGAAUUGCGCUUGUGACUGCAGUGCUCGAGUGCGGCAGAGGGGGGUGGAAUUCCACGUGUAGCAGUGAAAUGCGUAGAGAUGUGGAGGAACACCGAUGGCGAAGGCAGCCCCCUGGGUCGACACUGACGCUCAUGCACGAAAGCGUGGGGAGCAAAC